CUGGGCUGGAUGAGUGGCGAACGGGUGAGUAACACGUGAGUAACCUGCCCUCUUCUUUGGGAUAACGGUCGGAAACGGCUGCUAAUACCGGGUAUUCACUGUCCUUCGCAUGGGGGGUGGUGGAAAGGUUUUUUCUGGUGGGGGAUGGGCUCGCGGCCUAUCAGCUUGUUGGUGGGGUGAUGGCUUACCAAGGCUUUGACGGGUAACCGGCCUGAGAGGGUGACCGGUCACAUUGGGACUGAGAUACGGCCCAG
rnacentral:rRNA from 1 species